rnacentral:rRNA from 1 species
GACGAACGCUGGCGGCGUGCCUAAUACAUGCAAGUCGAACGCAGUGGGGACGGGUGAGAAACUCGUUGGUAACCUCCUUUCAGAGGGGAUAACUCUUGGAAACAGGUGCUAAACCGAUACUGAUGGAUGGCCCCGCGGUGCAUUAGCUAGUUGGUGAGGUAACGGCUCACCAAGGCCACGAUGCAUAGCCGACCUGAGAGGGUGAUCGGCCACACUGGGACUGAGACACGGCCAAGACUCCUACGGGAGGCAGCAGUGGGGAAUCGUCGGCAAUGGACGAAAGUCUGACCGAGCAACGCCGCGUGAGUGAAGAAGGUUUUCGGAUCGUAAAACUCUGUUGUUAGAGAAGCGGUAUCUAACCAGAAAGCCACGGCUAACUACGUGCCAGCAGCCGCGGUAAUAC